GUAGACGGGAGUGCCUGCGGGUGCCACAGCCUUGUUGUGUUGUCUCGCCUGAUACAUAACGGUCAGGGCCAUACUGACAGUUCACGAUGGACAAGUGAUCAGUAACAAGUCGGUGAUCAGGGGAAUGGUCAAUGCAGACUCAACAGCAUCUCGUCAUUAGAAGACAGCAGAACACACCACACCCUGGCGUGAUAAAUAACAGCCCCAGUCAGCUCCAGCGACUACACCUAACAGUGUGACCAGAUCGACACUAAGAAGGGCCGGGAACCUCCUCGCAUCCUGACACCCCACGAACAGGUGACUUGCCAUGAAGAUAAAUUUGGGAUUGGAAGUGAUGUAUUAUCCUCAUCCCAUCACACAACUGGUUCACUUCCAAGGGCAUAGGAUUCAACAGCAAACGAGGUCUGGUAAUUAAGUGGGUCUUCCUCGUGAGUGACUAUAUCAGAGUGUUGAAGAUAUAUGCAGUUUUGUUAACGACCGUAAAGUGUACAAUGCUCAACGAUUAAGUUAACGCAAAAUCCGCACACCUCCCCCCCUCCCACCCGAAAAAAAACCUCCAGUGAGCACAGGUUACUCUCUGCAAAGCAGAAUAUGUAUGAUAUAUAUCCAAAACAAAAAGUGAUAUCUUAUCAACAGCAAUAUCAACGUUAUCUGAUAUCAACAGCGUGGAACUAACGAAAAAAGUGAUUAUUAUUUAUAAUUAAGUGAACAACAGCCCCCCAGGUGGAAAAUGUACACCAAGCCGGUCUCAGAAUCCUUAACCCCAAGUCGAGGAGAAUGCAAGUUCAUAAUUCCUCGAGAAAGGACCAUAAUCGUCCGCCUCCAUCUUCUUAUGUUGUUUCUCUCCGUCGUGGCGGGACUCUCCUACAUGUCCUACCUAGUGCUUCUGCUGAUAAGGGAACACUGGACACCGUGGGUGCUGCUCUACCCUGUGGCCUUCACUGUCUUUAUGGCUCUCGGCAUCUGCUGCGUCAACACCUUGCAGCAACUGAUCACGCCAGCCUCACCUGAGGACUCGGUCGAGGAAGAAUCUAAACUUCUGCAACAUGUCUGACUUAUUCAAAACACAUUAAAUUUACAUAUAUGCCAAAAGCAGUAUAAUGCCUCCUAAAGACGCCUAUUGUAUCAUACAAGAGGAUAAUUUUUGUAUUUAAAUUGUAUACAACUAAAACAGGUUAAAUAUUUGCUGGUCUGAAGACUUACGAAAAGGAGUUUGAGAGGCGAAUGAAUGUGCUGCUGGAGGUUAAUGUAUCAUUGUAUGAAUAUCGACAAUGUAGUCAACUACUGUAAGGUAAAAAUACGGGUCAUGUGAUCAGCAGUUGUUUGCCUAAACGCUAACUCUUCUUCAGUAACGGGCGGGUCGGUCGAGCGUCUGUCUCGCGCAAUGCAGGUCGGUGUUCAAUUGUAACGUAUCAGAAAAUGAGGGAAAGAAAUGAAGAAACUGACAGGGUGAGGGAGGUAGAGAGGUGGAAAGGGUAUGUGAGGAAAAGUG